rnacentral:lncRNA from 1 species
CAGUUUUCAGAUGGGCCUGGACCUAUUUUCUACGAUUUUUAUGAUCAGUUUGGGCUUGGACUUGUUUUCUGUUAUUUUUAUGCCCUAUUUAAAGGCCAUAACGUCUUAGGGUUUGUAUCUUUUGAUGGCUUUGGCACAAAAACACACUCUUCACCCCCUUGGCGUAGAUUUGGAGAUGGUGACAACUCUCAUUUUCUCCUUUUUAGGGUUUGUAUCUCUUUCAUUCCAUUAUUCACCUAGUUUCUCCAUGACGAUGGAGAACUAAUCUUAUUUGUUGCUGGGGAAAGAUGUAACCUCUAAACUCUCAUAUAUCGAAUUUCUUAUUUAUUUAUAUGUUUGUCGUAUGCUUUGAUUAUCAAUUGUUGGGUUUCUCAUCUGCGCUUAAUGCUUUUAUCGUUUAACUC